rnacentral:rRNA from 1 species
UACGUAGGGUGCGAGCGUUUGUCCGGAAUUAUUGGGCGUAAAGAGCUUGUAGGCGGUUUUGUCGCGUCUGCUGUGAAAAUCCGGGGCUCAACCCCGGACUUGCAGUGGGUACGGGCAGACUAGAGUGUGGUAGGGGAGACUGGAAUUCCUGGUGUAGCGGUGGAAUGCGCAGAUAUCAGGAGGAACACCGAUGGCGAAGGCAGGUCUCUGGGCCACUACUGACGCUGAGAAGCGAAAGCAUGGGGAGCGAACAGG